UUUUAAUGUUGAAAUUGUUUAAUGUUGAAUAAAUUAGGAAUUUUGUUUAAAAAGAAUUGAUUUUAAAUUUUAAACUAUAAAGAAUAGUACUGUGAAGGAUUUUUUAAAAUUUUGAAAAUAAAAUUUUCAAAAAGUAAAUUAUUAAUUGUACCUUUUGUAUUAGGGUUUAAUAAAAAAAAUUAUUGUUAUAUUUUUCCCGAAAUAAUUUGAGCUACUAAUUUAGGGGAUUUAAAGGUUUAAAUUUAAAAUUAAUUUUUUAGUAGAAAUGAAAUUUUAUUCGAAAUUUGUGAUAUCUGGUUAAAAAGAAAAAGUUAUACACUUUUUUGUAAAGAGAAUUAAUUGAGAAGUUUUACAAUUUUUUUUUUAGGGAUAAGCUUAGAAAUGUUAUAUAAAUUAUAUAGAAUUUUUUAAAAAGUUUAAAAUUUACUAAAAUUUUGUAAUAAAAAAAUUUUAUUAACUUUAAUUUUAUUAAAAAGAUUGUUUUUAUUAAUGUUUUUGAAAAGGAAUAAUGUUAAAAUUAGUAUAAAGAUUUUUAAAGUUUUUUAAAGUUUUUAAAUUAAAUUUAAAAUUGAAAGGGUUUUUAGUAAAUUAUGAAUUCGGCAAAAAAAAUUUCUGAAUGUUUAUCAAAAACAUUGCACUUUGAAAUUAUGAAGUGUAAAGUCUGCUCAAUGUAAAAUAAAUUGCUGUGGUAUUAUGACUAUACGAAGGUAUUGAAAUAAGGUUUUAAUUGAGCGCUAAGAGAAUGGCUUAACAGGGAUUGACUUUAUUGUUUAUUAAUUUAAAAGUUAAUUUAAAAAUGAAAAAGUUUUUAUAAAAUUUUGGGACAAGAAGACCCUAUGAAUUUUUUAAAAAUUUACUUUUUAAAAAUUUUUUAAGAAAAGAAAAUGUAAAUUUUGUUAAUUGGGGCGAUUUUUAAAGAAUGUUUAUCUUUAAAAUUAUUUUAAAAAUGAUCCAGUAAUAUUGAUUAUUUAAAAUAAAUACUCUAGGGAUAACAGCGUAAUUAUUUUGGAUAGUUCAUAUAGAUAAAAUAGUUUGCGACCUCGAUGUUGGAUUAGGAUUCUAAAAAAAUGUAGAAGUUUUUUUUAGAAGUUUGCUCAACUUUUUAAUUCCUACAUGAUCUGAGUUCAGACCGGCGUGAGCCAGGUUGGUUUCUAUCUAGAUUUUGUUAAUUAGAUUAUAGUACGAAAGGAAUUAAUUUGAAAAAUUAUUUUUAAAAUUAUUUAUUGUUAAAUUAUAAUAAU
rnacentral:rRNA from 1 species